rnacentral:rRNA from 1 species
GUCCACGCUGUAAACGAUGAUGACUGGCUGUUGGGUGCCUAGAGCACUUAGUAGCGAAGCUAACGCGUGAAGUCAUCCGCCUGGGGAGUACGGUCGCAAGAUUAAAACUCAAAGGAAUUGACGGGGGCCCGCACAAGCGGUGGAACAUGCGGUUUAAUUCGACGCAACGCGAAGAACCUUACCUACUCUUGACAUCUACAGAAUCUGAUAGAGAUAUUGGAGUGCCUUCGGGAACUGUAAGACAGGUGCUGCAUGGCUGUCGU